UACGUAGGGGGCAAGCGUUGUCCGGAAUCAUUGGGCGUAAAGCGCGUGUAGGCGGCUUGGAAAGUCGGGUGUGAAAGCCCUGGGCUCAACCUAGGAAGUGCACUCGAAACUGCCGAGCUUGAGUUCUGGAGAGGAAGGCGGAAUUCUCGGUGUAGAGGUGAAAUUCGUAGAUAUCGAGAGGAACACCGGUGGCGAAGGCGGCCUCUGGACAGCAACUGACGCUGAGACGCGAAAGCGUGGGGAGCAAAC
rnacentral:rRNA from 1 species